rnacentral:rRNA from 1 species
UACGAAGGGUGCAAGCGUUAAUCGGAAUUACUGGGCGUAAAGCGCGCGUAGGUGGUUUGAUAAGUUGGAUGUGAAAGCCCCGGGCUCAACCUGGGAAUUGCAUCCAAAACUGUCUGGCUAGAGUAUGGCAGAGGGUGGUGGAAUUUCCUGUGUAGCGGUGAAAUGCGUAGAUAUAGGAAGGAACACCAGUAGCGAAGGCGGCCUUCUGGCCUUAACCUGACGCUGAGGAGCGAGAGCGUGGGGAGCAAACAGG